rnacentral:rRNA from 1 species
GACGAACGCUGGCGGCGUGCUUAACACAUGCAAGUCGAACGGAAAGGCCCUGCUUUUGUGGGGUGCUCGAGUGGCGAACGGGUGAGUAACACGUGAGUAACCUGCCCUUGACUUUGGGAUAACUUCAGGAAACUGGGGCUAAUACCGGAUAGGAGCUCCUGCUGCAUGGUGGGGGUUGGAAAGUUUCGGCGGUUGGGGAUGGACUCGCGGCUUAUCAGCUUGUUGGUGGGGUAGUGGCUUACCAAGGCUUUGACGGGUAGCCGGCCUGAGAGGGUGACCGGCCACAUUGGGACUGAGAUACGGCCCAGACUCCUACAGGAGGCAGCAGUGGGGAAUAUUGCACAAUGGGCGGAAGCCUGAUGCAGCAACGCCGCGUGCGGGAUGACGGCCUUCGGGUUGUAAACCGCUUUCGCCUGUGACGAGGCGUGAGUGACGGUAAUGGGUAAAGAAGCACCGGCUAACUACGUG